AUUGAACGCUGGCGGCAUGCUUUACACAUGCAAGUCGAACGGCAGCGGGGGCUUCGGCCUGCCGGCGAGUGGCGAACGGGUGAGUAAUGCAUCGGAACGUGCCCAUGUCGUGGGGGAUAACUACGCGAAAGCGUGGCUAAUACCGCAUACGCCCUGAGGGGGAAAGCGGGGGAUCUUUCGGGACCUCGCGCGAUUGGAGCGGCCGAUGUCGGAUUAGCUAGUUGGUGGGGUAAAGGCUCACCAAGGCGACGAUCCGUAGCUGGUCUGAGAGGCUGAUCCGCUAGACUGGGACUGAGACACGGCCCAGACUCCUACGGGAGGCAGCAGUGGGGAAUUUUGGACUAUUGGCGCAAGCCUGAUCCAGCCGUGCCGCGUGAGUGAAGACGGCCUUCGGGUUGUAAAGCUCUUUCGGCCGAGAAGAAAUCGCAUUCUCUAAUAUAGGAUGUGGAUGACGGUACCGGACUAAGAAGCACCGGCUAACUACGUGCCAGCCGCCGCCGUAAUAC
rnacentral:rRNA from 1 species